GAUGAAGAACGUAGCGAAAUGCGAUACGUAGUGUGAAUUGCAGAAUUCAGUGAAUCAUCGAAUCUUUGAACGCACAUUGCACCUCUCGGUAUUCCGGGAGGUAUACCUGUUCGAGCGUCAUUUGUACCCUCAAGCUCUGCUUGGUGUUGGGUGUUUGUUCCGCCUCUGUGUGUGAACUCGCCUCAAAACAAUUGGCAGCCGGCGUACUUGUUUCGGAGCGCAGCACAUUUUGCGAUCCAGAUCAACGUACAGCGGCAUCCAAGAAGCCUUAUUUAACGCUCUUGACCUCGGAUCAGGUAGGGAUACCCGCUGAACUUAAGCAUAUCAAUAAGCGGAGGA
rnacentral:misc_RNA from 1 species